ACUUACAGGCCUAAAUAUUAUAAUGUGACCAGAUUCCGUAAGAUCUUGGAAGCUAAGCGGGUUAUGACUUGAUUAUUACUUGGUUGAGACAUUACCAAUGAAUACCAGGUGCUGUAGGUU
rnacentral:rRNA from 1 species